rnacentral:lncRNA from 1 species
UGAGAUCAAAUAAGAUAAUGAGGGAGAAAAAGAUCUGAAAAGUUAAAAGCACUGCUUGAGUGCAAAGCAUUAUUUUUUUCUCCUCUCACCAUGAUAUUGUGCGUCUAAACAAAAUACUUACAAAGAGAAUACAGGAGAAAAGAAGACUUCUCAUCCUGCUGUGUUCAAAACACAGCUCUAUUUAAUUGAGUAGGAGGCACCAGAGCUAAUGCUCUGGAUUUUACCUUGAAGUGAAGACUUGAAUCAAAAGGUUCUGACAAACAGGCUGCUUUACAAUCAAGUAUCUAUCCCUCUCGGAACCUUGUCUGCUCUGGUCUUGGAUAUCAUAACUACUGGUUUAUUUUUCUUGUCAGAGUUCAAGAGAGCACAAGAAAAAUGUAUAAUUAUUGUUUCUACCAACUUUAUCUCUGCUUGCCAAAAAAAAAAAAAGAAAUUCAGGGACUCCUUUUAGACAUUAGACCUAUUUAGCUCUCCCUUGACAUUGUCAUUAUUAUAUGUCUUCUGGCUUCCUUCUCAGUGUGUAAGGAGGUGAGAGUGGAUAGAGUUGGGAGAAAGAAAUGUGAUGGUAUUAAUUUUUUAAACUCUCCAAAUAGUUGCCAUACUUGUCACUUUAGGCUUUUCAAUUUCAUUAGUGCUGACAGAGAUGAAUGACAUAUCCUAAUUGUGGAUUUGCACCUGCAAUCCAGAAGUGGUUGCUGCUUUUCCAGUCUUUCUCAAGGUUUCUUUCUUGAGGUCUGAUUCUCAGAAGCAGCAAAAUUCCGCCUCAAUCCCACAGCUAAUAGAGGAAUCUGGGGAAUUUAGUAAGUUUACAAAGCUCCUGAAUCCAUAUUUCAGAGGCAAUCUAUUAUUCCAAAAAACUAGCUCUCCAACCUAGUAAACUUGAUACGUGGAGGGAAGAAAAGAGAAAGGAAAGAGCAUAUAUUUGAGAUUCUCCCAGUGUGUACAGGGGUUCUUCAAACCUUUCUCUGCUAAUGGUACUUUGCUUACCUCCUUACCACUAAGGCGGCUUAAUCACUCCUUCCAAAAGAGAUAGAAAUAAGUGCUUACUUGAUCUAGUCCGUCUGUGGUAUGAAGAUAAAAAAUUUAGAUCUAGAAGGGAUCUGAAAGGUCAUUGGAUCCAUACUCCUGCACUCAUUUUGUGGAAGACUCAAAUGGUAGCAUAGUAUAACAGAGAUAUAUCUAUGAAGUGGAAAUUAGAUAAAAUUCACUUUCCUUGGUAUGGUCUACACCGACAACUCUUGGCAUUGCUUAGCUGAAAUACA